GUGCAGACUCAGCUCCCGCACCCACCAGGGUAGCCUCAGUUUUCCCAAGGCCUGGGCACUGCUCCCUGAGUCCAGGGCUGCUGGGGUCGGCUCACUCCCUGACGGAUGCCCUCUGCCAGGGGCUCUGAUCCUGGUUCCUGCCCCUCCGGCCUCUGGGACUGGUUUUCUCUCUCUCCUCUCCUUCCUUCUCCAAGGUUGGCUCUGCAGGCUCCACUGGCAUAAAUCAAGGGCCUCCAGGGAGGGUUCAGUGCAGGAGGGUUGGCAGGACUGGCCAGGGGGAGAGCCCUGCCCCAGUGCAGGAGGGCCCAAUGCAGGAGGGUGGGAACCAAGGGGUGGAGGGCUCAGAGACUGGCAGGCCCUGUGGGGGUGGGUGCACGCUCAGAUGUCGGCGUGGAGGGCACCGGGGUGGAGAGGGGACAGCUCCCUUCCUGUCACAUGC
rnacentral:lncRNA from 1 species